GAUGAACGCUGGCGGCGUGCCUAACACAUGCAAGUCGAGCGAACGGACGAGACGUUUGUUUCUCUGACGUUUGCGGAGCACGGGUGAGUAACACGUGGAUAAUCUACCUAUAAGACUGGUAUAACUUCGGAACACCGGAGCUUAUACCGGAUAAUAUUUUGAAGCGCAUGGUUCAAAAGUGAAAGACGGUCUUGCUGUCACUACUAGAUGGAUCCGCGCUGCAUUAGCUAGUUGGGAAGGUAAAGGCUUACCACGGCGAGGAUGCAUAGCCGACGUGAGAGGGUGAUCGGCCGCACUGGAACGUGAACACGGUCCAGAGGCCUACGGUAGGCACCAGUAGGGAAUCUGCCGCAGUGGGGGAAAGCCUGACGGAGCGAGCCCGCGCGAGUUGUGACGGUCUUCGGAUCGUAAAACUCUGUUAUUAGGGAAGAACAUAUUUCGAAGGAGCUGUACACAUCGUGACGGUACCUAGUCAGAAAGCCACGGCUAACUACGUG
rnacentral:rRNA from 1 species